GCCUGACGCAGCGACGCCGUGUGGGCGAUGAAGGCCUUCGGGUUGUAAAGCCCUGUGAGGUGGAAAGAAGGGUCCGGAGGUUAAUACCCUUUGGACCUUGACGGUACCA
rnacentral:rRNA from 1 species